CGUCAAAUCAGCACGGCCCUUACGUCCGGGGCGACACACGUGUUACAAUGGGGGGGACAAAGGGCAGCUACUUAGCGAUAAGAUGCCAAUCUCGAAACCCUCUCCCAGUUCGGAUAGGAGUCUGCAACCCGACUCCUUGAAGCUGGAUUCGCUAGUAAUCGCGCAUCAGCCAUGGCGCGGUGAAUACGUUCCCGGGCCUU
rnacentral:rRNA from 1 species